rnacentral:misc_RNA from 1 species
UUUCCGUAGGUGAACCUGCGGAAGGAUCAUUAACGAGUUAAAGUCUUCUAGGCCCGACCUCCCAACCCUUUGUUUACUGAACCAUUGUUGCCUCGGGUGGUCCGUCUUACGACCGCCGGGGGGUCGCCGCUAAGCGCCCCCUGGCCAUCUCCCACAGAUACCCCAACCCUUACAAACCUUUGUUAAACGUUUCUAAUAUCUAAAUUUAUGAAUAAACAAUCAAAACAAAACUUUCAACAACGAGUCGAUUGGUUCUGGCAUCGAUGAAAAACGCAUCAC